rnacentral:rRNA from 1 species
GAGUUUGAUCCUGGCUCAGAACGAACGUUGGCGGCGUGCUUAACACAUGCAAGUCGAACGCGAACGGUUUCUUCGGAGACCUAGUAGAGUGGCGCACGGGUGAGUAACGCGUAAGUAAUCUACCCUCGCAUCAGGGAUAACUACGGGAAGCUGUAGCUAAUACCGGAUACGUUCUCCUAUUUACGGACUGGAGAAGAAAGAUGGCCUCUUCAUGAAAGCUAUCGUGCGGGGAGGAGCUUGCGUACCAUUAGCUAGUUGGUAGGGUAAUGGCCUACCAAGGCGACGAUGGUUAGCGGGUCUGAGAGGAUGAUCCGCCACACUGGAACUGAAACACGGACCAGACUCCUACGGGAGGCAGCAGUGAGGAAUAUUGCGCAAUGGGGGAAACCCUGACGCAGCGACGCCGCGUGGAUGAUGAAGGCCUUAGGGUCGUAAAAUCCUGUCAGGUGGGAAGAAGUGGUUAUAGACUAAUACUCUAUUUCUUUGACGGUACCACCAAAGGAAGCACCGGCUAACUCCGUGCCAGCAGCCGCGGUAAUACGGAGGGUGCAAACGUUGUUCGGAAUUACUGGGCGUAAAGCGCGCGUAGGCGGUUUGUUAAGUCAGACGUGAAAGCCCAUGGCUCAACCAUGGACGUGCAUUUGAAACUGGCAGACUUGAGUACUGGAGGGGGUGAUGGAAUUCCCGGUGUAGAGGUGAAAUUCGUAGAUAUCGGGGAGGAAUACCGGUGGCGAAGGCGAUCACCUGGCCAGAUACUGACGCUGAGGUGCGAAAGCGUGGGGGAGCNAAACAGGAUUAGAUACCCCUGGUAGCCCACNCCGUAAACGAUGUCAACUAGGUGUUGGG